UACGUAGGGCGCGAGCGUUGUCCGGAAUUAUUGGGCGUAAAGAGCUCGUAGGCGGCCUGUUGCGUCCGCUGUGAAAGCCCGGGGCUUAACCCCGGGUCUGCAGUGGAUACGGGCAGGCUAGAGGUAGGUAGGGGAGAAUGGAAUUCCCGGUGUAGCGGUGAAAUGCGCAGAUAUCGGGAGGAACACCGGUGGCGAAGGCGGUUCUCUGGGCCUUACCUGACGCUGAGGCGCGAAAGCUAGGGGAGCAAACAGG
rnacentral:rRNA from 1 species